GGGCAGCGACGGCAUCUCCGCCACGCUUCUUCAAUGGUGGGAACAAGCUCGCACUUGUCCGCAGUCGGUUUUCCUGUGUUGCAUACCUGUUUUGACGGCAUUCUUUCGGCUAAAAGGUCUAAUCUCCGCCUUGUGUCGGUGCUCCGUGCGGGCGCUCGGCGCGGGGUGGAACUCAUGGCUUGCGUCGUGUUUCGCGCCGCAUUCACCUAACUCGGUGUUUGGGUAGGCGAGCCGCGACGUGAUWCCCGUUGUCUCGGGUGCGGAACAUCGGGUGGGUUUGAGGCAUUGACCUCUAAUGACCACACAAAUGCGUUCAACGCUUUAUGCGAACGACGGCCGCGCACGACUUUCGUCGGAACAAUUUUUUGCUCGGUCGAAKUCGUGUCGGCGUCGGUGAGGGAUGCUACCUGGUUGAUCCUGCCAGUAGUCAUA
rnacentral:misc_RNA from 1 species